UACGUAGGGUGCGAGCGUUAAUCGGAAUUACUGGGCGUAAAGCGUGCGCAGGCGGUUCGUUGUGUCGGCGGUGAAAGCCCCGGGCUUAACCUGGGAAUGGCCGUUGAAACUGGCGAACUGGAGUGUGGCAGAGGGGGGUGGAAUUCCGCGUGUAGCAGUGAAAUGCGUAGAGAUGCGGAGGAACACCGGUGGCGAAGGCGGGUCUCUGGGCCGAAACUGACGCUGAGGAGCGAAAGCGUGGGGAGCGAACAGG
rnacentral:rRNA from 1 species